UACAGAGGGUGCGAGCGUUGUUCGGAAUUAUUGGGCGUAAAGCGCUUGUAGGCGGCUUGUUAAGUUCCGUGUGAAAUCCCCAGGCUUAACCUGGGAAGUGCGCGGAAAACUGGCGAGCUUGAGUGCCGGAGAGGGUCGCGGAAUUCCCGGUGUAGAGGUGAAAUUCGUAGAUAUCGGGAGGAACACCAGUGGCGAAGGCGGCGACCUGGACGGACACGUGACGCUGAG
rnacentral:rRNA from 1 species